AUUGAACGCUGGCGGAAUGCUUUACACAUGCAAGUCGAACGGCAGCACGGACUUCGGUCUGGUGGCGAGUGGCGAACGGGUGAGUAAUGGAUCGGAACGUGCCCAGCCGUGGGGGAUAACGUAGUGAAAUUUACGCUAAUACCGCAUACGAUCUAUGGAUGAAAGCGGGGGAUCGCAAGACCCCGCGCGUUUGGAGCGGCCGAUAUCAGAUUAGGUAGUUGGUGGGGUAAAGGCCCACAAAGCCAACGAUCUGUAGCUGGUCUGAGAGGACGACCAGCCACACUGGAACUGAGACACGGUCCAGACUCCUACGGGAGGCAGCAGUGGGGAAUUUUGGACAAUGGGCGAAAGCCUGAUCCAGCCAUUCCGCGUGCAGGAUGAAGGCCCUCGGGUUGUAAACUGCUUUUGUACAGAACGAAAAGGUUUCUACUAAUACUAGGAGCUCAUGACGGUACUGUAAGAAUAAGCACCGGCUAACUACGUGCCAGCCGCCGCAGUAA
rnacentral:rRNA from 1 species